rnacentral:rRNA from 1 species
CCUACGGGUGGCUGCAGUGGGGAAUAUUGGACAAUGGGCGAAAGCCUGAUCCAGCCAUGCCGCGUGUGUGAAGAAGGCCUUCGGGUUGUAAAGCACUUUCAGUGGGGAAGAAAGCCUUGGGGCUAAUACCCUCGAGGAAGGACAUCACCCACAGAAGAAGCACCGGCUAACUCCGUGCCAGCAGCCGCGGUAAUACGGAGGGUGCGAGCGUUAAUCGGAAUUACUGGGCGUAAAGCGCGCGUAGGCGGUCUGAUAAGCCGGUUGUGAAAGCCCCGGGCUCAACCUGGGAACGGCAUCCGGAACUGUCAGGCUAGAGUGCAGGAGAGGAAGGUAGAAUUCCCGGUGUCGCGGUGAAAUGCGUAGAGAUCGGGAGGAAUACCAGUGGCGAAGGCGGCCUUCUGGACUGACACUGACGCUGAGGUGCGAAAGCGUGGGUAGCAAACAGGAUUAGAUACCCCAGUAGU